rnacentral:rRNA from 1 species
GACGAACGCUGGCGGCGUGCUUAACACAUGCAAGUCGAACGGAAAGGCCCUGCUUUUGUGGGGUGCUCGAGUGGCGAACGGGUGAGUAACACGUGAGUAACCUGCCCUGACUUUGGGAUAACUUCAGGAAACUGGGGCUAAUACCGGAUAGGAGCUCCUGCUGCAUGGUGGGGGUUGGAAAGUUUCGGCGGUUGGGGAUGGACUCGCGGCUUAUCAGCUUGUUGGUGGGGUAGUGGCUUACCAAGGCUUUGACGGGUAGCCGGCCUGAGAGGGUGACCGGCCACAUUGGGACUGAGAUACGGUCCAGACUCCUACGGGAGGCAGCAGUGGGGAAUAUUGCACAAUGGGCGGAAGCCUGAUGCAGCAACGCCGCGUGCGGGAUGACGGCCUUCGGGUUGUAAACCGCUUUCGCCUGUGACGAAGCGUGAGUGACGGUAAUGGGUAAAGAAGCACCGGCUAACUACGUG